UAUACAUCACGAGUGAAGAAUUUUAGCAUAAAAAUAACAAUAUCAUGAGAUGCCUUAGAAUCCUAAUAAGUGGCAAGAGAAUACAGAUGAUUCUGACUAAUUUCAGAGCCAAAAGUAGCACCUUUUGGUGCAGGAGCAAAAAAAACAUCAACUGGGACCUUAUUAGCACCAUAGAAAUAACACCUGAAGGACAGUUCCUCUAAAUAUAGAUAGGCCGACCAUAUAUGAAACACAUAUUUCUACCCUUAUUAAAAAAUCCAUGAUGCACCUGACCAUAGAAAUGACAAUAAAGGUAAUAUGGAGUCGACUAAGCCCCACUGGCCUGAGAUUAGGCACCUUGUGCAUUAAAUCCAUAGUUGCUCUAAAAAUGGCUAUCAUUAGAUGGCUUAGGAUAUGGAAAAUUAGUCAUAUAGUAGGAACUAAAAUUUCCCUACUUCUUCAUAGACCAUUUCCCACCAUCUCUACCACUAUGCUUCUGACCUCCACACUAAUUCAAAUAGUGAAACUUUUUACUCUACCUUUCGCUCACAUCUACAUGCUUCCUCUUUUGAUCCUCUACUUGUUUAAUAUACACCAUAUGUAUAGAGAUGUCCAUAUCCUUGCUCAAUAUGGCAUC
rnacentral:lncRNA from 1 species